UCACCCCUCAAGCGUAGCUUGGUGUUGAGGCCUGCUGUCAAGGCAGCCUCUAAAAUCAGUGGCAGUGCUGUCAGGCUCUAAGCGUAGUAGAAUUCAUCGCUAUAGACACCUGGUGGACACCCGCCAGAACCCCCCAUUUUUUAAU
rnacentral:misc_RNA from 1 species